ACUCUAAAUCCAGGCUGAGUACGGAUGGAGAGGAGGCGGGACAGGAGACCUCUGGAAGAGAGGCGGGAGGACAGAUCACCAGGGGAGGGAGGAAGAGGAAGACGAUGAAGCUGAGUAGAGAUCUGUCAGACCUGGUGGUGUUCACUAACUCUGUGGCCUCUCAGGAGGGACUGAACGACAGUACUCCAGGGAAUGUUCUGUCGUUCAGUGAGACACGUGCCCAGCAGCUAGUGAACCACAGAGCUGAGCGCUUCCUGGGUUUCAACCAGCGACAGCUGUCUAGAAUCUACCCCUCCGCCUACCGCAUAGACUCC